rnacentral:tRNA from 1 species
GCCGGAGUGGCGGAAUUGGCAGACGCAGUGGACUUAAAAUCCACUGGGAGAUAUUCCCGUGCCGGUUCGAGUCCGGCCUCCGGCA